rnacentral:rRNA from 1 species
AUGGAGCCGACCUUGAAAUACCACCCUUUAAUGUUUGAUGUUCUAACGUUGACCCGUAAUCCGGGUUGCGGACAGUGUCUGGUGGGUAGUUUGACUGGGGCGGUCUCCUCCUAAAGAGUAACGGAGGAGCACGAAGGUUGGCUAAUCCUGGUCGGACAUCAGGAGGUUAGUGCAAUGGCAUAAGCCAGCUUGACUGCGAGCGUGACGGCGCGAGCAGGUGCGAAAGCAGGUCAUAGUGAUCCGGUGGUUCUGAAUGGAAGGGCCAUCGCUCAACGGAUAAAAGGUACUCCGGGGAUAACAGGCUGAUACCGCCCAAGAGUUCAUAUCGACGGCGGUGUUUGGCACCUCGAUGUCGGCUCAUCACAUCCUGGGGCUGAAGUAGGUCCCAAGGGUAUGGCUGUUCGCCAUUUAAAGUGGUACGCGAGCUGGGUUUAGAACGUCGUGAGACAGUUCGGUCCCUAUCUGCCGUGGGCGCUGGAGAACUGAGGGGGGCUGCUCCUAGUACGAGAGGACCGGAGUGGACGCAUCACUGGUGUUCGGGUUGUCAUGCCAAUGGCACUGCCCGGUAGCUAAAUGCGGAAGAGAUAAGUGCUGAAAGCAUCUAAGCACGAAACUUGCCCCGAGAUGAGUUCUCCCUGACUCCUUGAGAGUCCUGAAGGAACGUUGAAGACGACGACGUUGAUAGGCCGGGUGUGUAAGCGCAGCGAUGCGU